rnacentral:rRNA from 1 species
AACGAACGCUGGCGGCAGGCCUAACACAUGCAAGUCGAGCGAGAUCUUCGGAUCUAGCGGCGGACGGGUGAGUAACGCGUGGGAACGUGCCCUUUGCUACGGAAUAGCCCCGGGAAACUGGGAGUAAUACCGUAUGUGCCCUACGGGGGAAAGAUUUAUCGGCAAAGGAUCGGCCCGCGUUGGAUUAGGUAGUUGGUGGGGUAAUGGCCUACCAAGCCGACGAUCCAUAGCUGGUUUGAGAGGAUGAUCAGCCACACUGGGACUGAGACACGGCCCAGACUCCUACGGGAGGCAGCAGUGGGGAAUCUUAGACAAUGGGGGAAACCCUGAUCUAGCCAUGCCGCGUGAGCGAUGAAGGCCUUAGGGUUGUAAAGCUCUUUCAGCUGGGAAGAUAAUGACGGUACCAGCAGAAGAAGCCCCGGCUAACUCCGUG